rnacentral:lncRNA from 1 species
GUGUCUGCGUCGGGUUCUGUUGGAGUGCGUUCGGUGCGCCGUGGGUCCGCGCUGCUUCCACCCAACUUCCUGUUAGUUUCUCUCCUGUCACAAUGGCAUGAUCUCGGCUCACUGCGACCUCUGCUUCCUGGGUUCAAGGAUUCUCCUGCCUCAGCCUCCCAAGUAGCUGGGAUUACAGGUUACAUUAGUUAUACACUCUGGAGGUGACUUGACCUGUCAUUGUGAACAAUUAUUGCUCUUGGACGACCCAGGACAUAGGCCAGCCAGUACGUACCCCAGUGUGUUGGAGAAUCGCGCUCGGCUUCUUCCUCUGUGCUGAGUCAUGAAAGUUGCCGGAGCAGGUGCAGUUACACAACCUCCAGACAUCUAGGCUUGCUGUCAAGGCUUCUGAUCAACAUGAGAUGACCGCCGUGUGGUAAACUGAUGAACCCUGACCCUGAUCAACAUGAGAUGACCGCCGUGUGGUAAACUGAUGAACCCCGACCCUGAUGAAC